rnacentral:rRNA from 1 species
GACGAACCGUGCGAACGUUGUUCGGAUUCACUGGGCAUAAAGGGCGCGUAGGCGGAUGGUCAAGUCGGGGGUGAAAUCUUUCAGCUUAACUGGAAAAGUGCCUCCGAUACUGAUCGUCUCGAGGGAGGUAGGGGCAUGUGGAACCUCCGGUGGAGCGGUGAAAUGCGUAGAUAUCGGAAGGAACGCCGGUGGCGAAAGCGACGUGCUGGACCUCUUCUGACGCUGAGGCGCGAAAGCUAGGGGAGCAAACGGG